rnacentral:rRNA from 1 species
GCGCAAGCCUGAUGCAGCCAUGGCGCGUGUAUGAAGAAGGCCUUCGGGUUGUAAAGUACUUUCAGCGGGGAGGAAGGCGAUAAGGUUAAUAACCUUGUCGAUUGACGUUACCCGCAGAAGAAGCACCGGCUAACUCCGUGCCAGCAGCCGCGGUAAUACGGAGGGUGCAUGCGUUAAUCGGAAUUACUGGGCGUAAAGCGCACGCAGGCGGUCUGUCAAGUCGGAUGUGAUAUCCCCGGGCUCAACCUGGGAACUGCAUUCGAAACUGGCAGGCUAGAGUCUUGUAGAGGGGGGUAGAAUUCCAGGAGUAGCGGUGAAAUGCGUAGAGAUCUGGAGGAAUACCGGUGGCGAAGGCCGCAUCCU